ACGGCCCACCAAGGCGACGAUCAGUAGGGGUUCUGAGAGGAAGGUCCCCCACAUUGGAACUGAGACACGGUCCAAACUCCUACGGGAGGCAGCAGUGAGGAAUAUUGGUCAAUGGGCGCAAGCCUGAACCAGCCAAGUAGCGUGAGGGAAGACUGCCCUACGGGUUGUAAACCUCUUUUGUUUGGGAAUAAAGUGCGGGACGCGUCCCGCAUUGCAUGUACCAUUUGAAUAAGGACCGGCCAAUUCCGUGCCAGCAGCCGCGGUAAUACGGAAGGUCCGGGCGUUAUCCGGAUUUAUUGGGUUUAAAGGGAGCGCAGGCCGUGGGUUAAGCGUGUCGUGAAAUUCCGUCGCUCAACGGCGGACGUGCGGCGCGAACUGGUCCACUUGAGUACGCGGGACGUUGGCGGAAUUCGUGGUGUAGCGGUGAAAUGCUUAGAUAUCACGAAGAACUCCGAUUGCGGAGGCAGCUGACGGUAGCGCAACUGACGCUGAGGCUCGAAAGUGCGGGUAUCGAACAGGAUUAGAUACCCUGGUAGUCCGCACGGUAAACGAUGGAUGCCCGCUAUUCGCCCAUCUGGGCGAGUGGCCAAGCGAAAGCGUUAAGCAUCCCACCUGGGGAGUACGCCGGCAACGGUGAAACUCAAAGGAAUUGACGGGGGCCCGCACAAGCGGAGGAACAUGUGGUUUAAUUCGAUGAUACGCGAGGAACCUUACCCGGGCUUGAAUUGCAGAGGAAGGAUUUAGAGAUAAUGACGCCCUUCGGGGCCUCUGUGAAGGUGCUGCAUGGUUGUCGUCAGCUCGUGCCGUGAGGUGUCGGCUUAAGUGCCAUAACGAGCGCAACCCCUCUCCGUAGUUGCCAUCGGGUGAUGCCGGGCACUCUGCGGACACUGCCACCGUAAGGUGUGAGGAAGGUGGGGAUGACGUCAAAUCAGCACGGCCCUUACGUCCGGGGCUACACACGUGUUACAAUGGGGCAUACAGAGCGCCGGCGGCCGGCAACGUCCGUCCAAUCGCUAAAGUGUCCCCCAGUUCGGACUGGGGUCUGCAACCCGACCCCACGAAGCUGGAUUCGCUAGUAAUCGCGCAUCAGCCAUGGCGCGGUGAAUACGUUCCCGGGCCUUGUACACACCGCCCGUCAAGCCAUGAAAGCCGGGGGCGCCUGAAGUCCGUGACCGCAAGGGUCGGCCUAGGGCGAAACCGGUGAUUGGGGCUAAGUCGGAACAAGGUA
rnacentral:rRNA from 1 species